rnacentral:rRNA from 1 species
UACGGGGGGAGCAAGCGUUGUUCGGAUUUACUGGGCGUAAAGGGCGCGUAGGCGGCGCAACAAGUCACUUGUGAAAUCUCCGGGCUUAACCCGGAGCGGCCAAGUGAUACUGUCGUGCUAGAGUGCGGAAGGGGCUACUGGAAUUCUCGGUGUAACGGUGAAAUGCGUAGAUAUCGAGAGGAACACCUGCGGCGAAGGCGGGUAGCUGGGCCGACACUGACGCUGAGGCGCGAAAGCCAGGGGAGCGAACGGG